CGUUUUUGUCUUGGAUUUCUUCUGGAGUUCGGAGUAAAAAUGGCCACUUGUGAAAAACAACUGGUGAGUGAAAAUGAAGGAAUAUGAAAACUUGAAGUUGACAUCUCUAAGAAGUAGUUAAAGCUGGAAAUGACCAUACAUUGGGUUUUGUUACUGGUGGGUCUGCUCAUGUUCAAAUGCAACUUAGCACCAAAGAGUGUGAGAGUCUGGGAUUAACUGGUCUGGCUCUCUGCUUAGACUGCAACACCUUUGCUGAGUAUGUCAAGGACCAAGGUUGUACCUUUAUUAUAUGAAUUUUGUUGAUCCUCAGAUAUUUAUGGUUUUUGGUGGAUUUUACUUCUGGGUUUUGAUGGGUUUUUUGAAUUGAUUACUUGCUGGUAAGUACAUGGGUUGUAAAAUGGUAAUAUUUGGGAUUCUUGUUUCUGUACUAUAGCUGAUUGGUUGUCAAAAUUAACGAAUAGUGGGAGAUAGAUGCAAUUCUUAUUGCUUUUAGUUGAUUUAAGGUCUGGGUUUUUUUUUGUUUGGAUUUAUGAAUUGCUUAUUUAUAUGUGAGAUGUCAAUGGUGAUAAUUUGGAA